rnacentral:rRNA from 1 species
GGGUUGUGAGGUUAAGCGACUAAGCGUACACGGUGGAUGCCCUGGCAGUCAGAGGCGAUGAAGGACGUGCUAAUCUGCGAUAAGCGUCGGUAAGGUGAUAUGAACCGUUAUAACCGGCGAUUUCCGAAUGGGGAAACCCAGUGUGAUUCGUCACACUAUCAUUAACUGAAUCCAUAGGUUAAUGAGGCGAACCGGGGGAACUGAAACAUCUAAGUACCCCGAGGAAAAGAAAUCAACCGAGAUUCCCCCAGUAGCGGCGAGCGAACGGGGAGCAGCCCAGAGCCUGAAUCAGUGUGUGUGUUAGUGGAAGCGUCUGGAAAGGCGUGCGAUACAGGGUGACAGCCCCGUACACAAAAAUGCACAUAUUGUGAGCUCGAUGAGUAGGGCGGGACACGUGGUAUCCUGUCUGAAUAUGGGGGGACCAUCCUCCAAGGCUAAAUACUCCUGACUGACCGAUAGUGAACCAGUACCGUGAGGGAAAGGCGAAAAGAACCCCGGCGAGGGGAGUGAAAAAGAACCUGAAACCGUGUACGUACAAGCAGUGGGAGCACGCUUAGGCGUGUGACUGCGUACCUUUUGUAUAAUGGGUCAGCGACUUAUAUUCUGUAGCAAGGUUAACCGAAUAGGGGAGCCGAAGGGAAACCGAGUCUUAACUGGGCGUUAAGUUGCAGGGUAUAGACCCGAAACCCGGUGAUCUAGCCAUGGGCAGGUUGAAGGUUGGGUAACACUAACUGGAGGACCGAACCGACUAAUGUUGAAAAAUUAGCGGAUGACUUGUGGCUGGGGGUGAAAGGCCAAUCAAACCGGGAGAUAGCUGGUUCUCCCCGAAAGCUAUUUAGGUAGCGCCUCGUGAAUUCAUCUCCGGGGGUAGAGCACUGUUUCGGCAAGGGGGUCAUCCCGACUUACCAACCCGAUGCAAACUGCGAAUACCGGAGAAUGUUAUCACGGGAGACACACGGCGGGUGCUAACGUCCGUCGUGAAGAGGGAAACAACCCAGACCGCCAGCUAAGGUCCCAAAGUCAUGGUUAAGUGGGAAACGAUGUGGGAAGGCCCAGACAGCCAGGAUGUUGGCUUAGAAGCAGCCAUCAUUUAAAGAAAGCGUAAUAGCUCACUGGUCGAGUCGGCCUGCGCGGAAGAUGUAACGGGGCUAAACCAUGCACCGAAGCUGCGGCAGCGACGCUUAUGCGUUGUUGGGUAGGGGAGCGUUCUGUAAGCCUGUGAAGGUGUGCUGUGAGGCAUGCUGGAGGUAUCAGAAGUGCGAAUGCUGACAUAAGUAACGAUAAAGCGGGUGAAAAGCCCGCUCGCCGGAAGACCAAGGGUUCCUGUCCAACGUUAAUCGGGGCAGGGUGAGUCGACCCCUAAGGCGAGGCCGAAAGGCGUAGUCGAUGGGAAACAGGUUAAUAUUCCUGUACUUGGUGUUACUGCGAAGGGGGGACGGAGAAGGCUAUGUUGGCCGGGCGACGGUUGUCCCGGUUUAAGCGUGUAGGCUGGUUUUCCAGGCAAAUCCGGAAAAUCAAGGCUGAGGCGUGAUGACGAGGCACUACGGUGCUGAAGCAACAAAUGCCCUGCUUCCAGGAAAAGCCUCUAAGCAUCAGGUAACAUCAAAUCGUACCCCAAACCGACACAGGUGGUCAGGUAGAGAAUACCAAGGCGCUUGAGAGAACUCGGGUGAAGGAACUAGGCAAAAUGGUGCCGUAACUUCGGGAGAAGGCACGCUGAUAUGUAGGUGAAGUCCCUCGCGGAUGGAGCUGAAAUCAGUCGAAGAUACCAGCUGGCUGCAACUGUUUAUUAAAAACACAGCACUGUGCAAACACGAAAGUGGACGUAUACGGUGUGACGCCUGCCCGGUGCCGGAAGGUUAAUUGAUGGGGUCAGCGCAAGCGAAGCUCUUGAUCGAAGCCCCGGUAAACGGCGGCCGUAACUAUAACGGUCCUAAGGUAGCGAAAUUCCUUGUCGGGUAAGUUCCGACCUGCACGAAUGGCGUAAUGAUGGCCAGGCUGUCUCCACCCGAGACUCAGUGAAAUUGAACUCGCUGUGAAGAUGCAGUGUACCCGCGGCAAGACGGAAAGACCCCGUGAACCUUUACUAUAGCUUGACACUGAACAUUGAGCCUUGAUGUGUAGGAUAGGUGGGAGGCUUUGAAGUGUGGACGCCAGUCUGCAUGGAGCCGACCUUGAAAUACCACCCUUUAAUGUUUGAUGUUCUAACGUUGACCCGUGAUCCGGGUUGCGGACAGUGUCUGGUGGGUAGUUUGACUGGGGCGGUCUCCUCCUAAAGAGUAACGGAGGAGCACGAAGGUUGGCUAAUCCUGGUCGGACAUCAGGAGGUUAGUGCAAUGGCAUAAGCCAGCUUGACUGCGAGCGUGACGGCGCGAGCAGGUGCGAAAGCAGGUCAUAGUGAUCCGGUGGUUCUGAAUGGAAGGGCCAUCGCUCAACGGAUAAAAGGUACUCCGGGGAUAACAGGCUGAUACCGCCCAAGAGUUCAUAUCGACGGCGGUGUUUGGCACCUCGAUGUCGGCUCAUCACAUCCUGGGGCUGAAGUAGGUCCCAAGGGUAUGGCUGUUCGCCAUUUAAAGUGGUACGCGAGCUGGGUUUAGAACGUCGUGAGACAGUUCGGUCCCUAUCUGCCGUGGGCGCUGGAGAACUGAGGGGGGCUGCUCCUAGUACGAGAGGACCGGAGUGGACGCAUCACUGGUGUUCGGGUUGUCAUGCCAAUGGCACUGCCCGGUAGCUAAAUGCGGAAGAGAUAAGUGCUGAAAGCAUCUAAGCACGAAACUUGCCCCGAGAUGAGUUCUCCCUGACUCCUUGAGAGUCCUGAAGGAACGUUGAAGACGACGACGUUGAUAGGCCGGGUGUGUAAGCGCAGCGAUGCGUUGAGCUAACCGGUACUAAUGAACCGUGAGGCUUAACCUUACAACGCCGAAGCUGUU